GACGAACGCUGGCGGCGUGCCUAAUACAUGCAAGUUGAGCGAUGAAGAUUGGUGCUUGCACCAAUUUGAAGAGCAGCGAACGGGUGAGUAACGCGUGGGGAAUCUGCCUUUGAGCGGGGGACAACAUUUGGAAACGAAUGCUAAUACCGCAUAACAACUUUAAACAUAAGUUUUAAGUUUGAAAGAUGCAAUUGCAUCACUCAAAGAUGAUCCCGCGUUUUAUUAGCUAGUUGGUGAGGUAAAGGCUCACCAAGGCGAUGAUACAUAGCCGACCUGAGAGGGGGAUCGGCCACAGUGGGACUGAGGCACGGCCCAAACUCCUACGGGAGGCAGCAGUAGGGAAUCUUCGGCAAUGGACGAAAGUCUGACCGAGCAACGCCGCGUGAGUGAAGAAGGUUUUCGGAUCGUAAAACUCUGUUGGUAGAGAAGAACGUUGGUGAGAGUGGAAAGCUCAUCAAGUGACGGUAACUACCCAGAAAGGGACGGCUAACUACGUG
rnacentral:rRNA from 1 species